ensembl:snoRNA SNORD115 Small nucleolar RNA SNORD115
GGGUCGAUGAUGAGACCUCAUACUAUCUUGAAGAGAGAUGAUGACCAUGCUAUCUGUUCACACCC